CGUGUGAGGAUAUAUAAGGCAAUAAAACUGCUUCUAUAAGUAUAACUCCUCCUACAAAGAAAAUUAUUUUCUAAAAGUUACUGCAGUAAAUGUAACUAGUUACUAUCCACCUCUGGCAGGUUGUUUUAGACCAAAUCAGCUCAUUAACAUCAUUUCUUUCUUCCUGUCUGACAUGAAAUCUAAACUAACUUUACUUUUUUAGAUCAACUAAGAUUGAAACUAUUUCUGUAGAUUUGUUCCUGAAAAGCCUCCAUCUGAAGGUAAUGGAACAGGAUUUUAUUGACUGAUUAUUUCAGAUCCACUUCCAGCUUAGUUUCUGUGUCAGUCCAUAGCUCCAUGGUUCCCAGUACCAGACUGGGAGCUGGAACUGGAAACUGGUUCCUGUGGAGCAGCAUGGAGUCCUGGGGCCUCAUGCAGAGAAGAAUGUGCAGCUUUCAUUAUCAAAGUUAGGGCCUAGGCCAGGCUUAAAGACAUUUAGAUUGACUUUGUUUGAUCAUCAAUAAAUCAAGAAUAGUAACGUCUGAAAUGUUGCAUCAACUACAAAGAAAUCUAUUUUUAUGUUCCCUUUACAGGAACCAAAUGUUUGCUCUCAGACCUGAUAACUGUGGAUUAUUCUGGAUUAUUUAGUUGGAUAGUUUUAGGUGAUAAUUAUUUCUGGUCUGUGGUGAAAUAGUUCUGCAUGUUUGUACCAUCAGAGACCAGAGAGUGGAGAACUUUCUCUGAUGGUCUGAUUGGCAGCAGGAAGCUGCUGCAGAGUCACAGCAGCUUUCAGACUCAGAGGACCGACAGCAGAGAAGAAGUCCAGGAGUUUCUCUCCAACACAGACCUGGUCCAGACAGCAGAGCUGCAGAGUGAAGAAGUUCACAGAAGAAACUGAG